CUCUCACUUCAAUAUUCUCACAGAAAUUGCCUGCAGCACAUCCUGUAAAGACAUCCUAAUUUCUCUUCUCUCAACCUGUGAGACCUCAGCACUGGACCAUGUGACAAGUGGUGAAACUCAGGCAUAUUACAUGGUGUCAGCUGGACCCAGCCAAAGGAUGCCUGGCAAGCAGAGUGACAAUAAGCAGUAUCUCAGUGCAGCACAGCAAAGUGAGAGGAGAGCUUGGCAGAUGGGUUUUCAACACAUCCUUUAGAAUUUACCCUCCAGGACAGAAAAUCCUCUCUUCAAUAAAAA
rnacentral:lncRNA from 1 species